rnacentral:rRNA from 1 species
UACGUAGGGUGCAAGCGUUAAUCGGAAUUACUGGGCGUAAAGCGUGCGCAGGCGGUUGUGUAAGACAGAUGUGAAAUCCCCGGGCUCAACCCUGGGAACUGCAUUUGUGACUGCACAGCUGGAGUGCGGCAGAGGGGGAUGGAAUUCCGCGUGUAGCAGUGAAAUGCGUAGAUAUGCGGAGGAACACCGAUGGCGAAGGCAGCCCCCUGGGCUAACACUGACGCUCAGGCACGAAAGCGUGGGGAGCAACAG